rnacentral:rRNA from 1 species
AUUGAACGCUGGCGGCGUGCCUAAUACAUGCAAGUAGGACGCAGUUGCGAACGGGUGAGUAACGCGUAGGUCAAUGCCUAUUAGAGGGGGAUAACAACUGGAAACGCUAGCUAAUACCGCAUACUAGUAGAUGGACCUGCGUUGUAUUAAGUAGUAGGUGGGGUAAUGGCCUACCUAGGCGACGGUACAUAGCCGAGUUGAGGAGGGGAACGACCACACUGGGACUGAGACAAGGCCCAGACUCCUACGGGAAGCAGCAGGAGGGAAACUUCGGAAAUUGGGGGAACCCUGACCGAGCAAAGCCGCGUGAGUGAAGAAGGUUUUCGGAUCGUAAAGCUCUGUUGUUAAGGAAGCGGUACUUAACCAGAAAGGGACGGCUAACUACGUGCCAGCCGCCGCGGUAAUUC